rnacentral:hammerhead_ribozyme from 1 species
AUCCAGCAGAUGAGUUCAAAAUAAGGCGAAACGCGUGCCCUGGAU